rnacentral:rRNA from 3 species
UAAAACUCAAAUGAAUUGACGGGGGCCCGCACAAGCGGUGGAGCAUGUGGUUUAAUUCGAUGCAACGCGAAGAACCUUACCUGGUCUUGACAUCCACGGAAGUUUUCAGAGAUGAGAAUGUGCCUUCGGGAACCGUGAGACAGGUGCUGCAUGGCUGUCGUCAGCUCGUGUUGUGAAAUGUUGGGUUAAGUCCCGCAACGAGCGCAACCCUUAUCCUUUGUUGCCAGCGGUCCGGCCGGGAACUCAAAGGAGACUGCCAGUGAUAAACUGGAGGAAGGUGGGGAUGACGUCAAGUCAUCAUGGCCCUUACGACCAGGGCUACACACGUGCUACAAUGGCGCAUACAAAGAGAAGCGACCUCGCGAGAGCAAGCGGACCUCAUAAAGUGCGUCGUAGUCCGGAUUGGAGUCUGCAACUCGACUCCAUGAAGUCGGAAUCGCUAGUAAUCGUGGAUCAGAAUGCCACGGUGAAUACGUUCCCGGGCCUUGUACACACCGCCCGUCACACCAUGGGAGUGGGUUGCAAAAGAAGUAGGUAGCUUAACCUUCGGGAGGGCGCUUACCACUUUGUGAUUCAUGACUGGGGUGAAGUCGUAACAAGGUAACCGUAGGGGAACCUGCGGUUGGAUCACCUCCUUACCUUAAAGAAGC